UAAAGACUUUAAAGACUUUUUGCCUAUAAACCGUACACGACCAGGCCUAAAUCGGAAAGCCCAAAACCAAACUCCGUACUUCCCAAUUUGUUUCGAAGUACAAUUGCACAAUUCAACUGUUAAUAAUGGGGACUGCCAGUUUACCAUUAUCCCAGUUCAAACACGUCGCCUCCCGCCUUCUUGGUGAUCUCCGCCAGUUCUCGUCUUCCGUCGCUCUGAUCCGAAGAGCCUGGACUCUCUUCCCGGAGGAGCCCGAACCCGUAGAACCGGACGCCAGAAGCUUCUUUACGGGCUCGCCCUAAAGUACCAGCGACCCGUAGAUGAAAUCUUGAUCAACUCUGUAAGCUUAAUUGGUACUGUAGACUGCCCUUUUGAAAAAAUUCAAUACUACCAAAAUUUUGGUGUCCAUACUAUUCUCAUUGUCAAAGCUUCCUCUAGCUCGUACCGCUACUUGAAAGUAAGGACUCCAUUAAUAUUUGUCUCUGAUUAUAGUUUAGUUUUUAUUUUUUCAAUUUUUUGUUUUCCCUGAAUGCGUGCGCGAGCGUGCGCGAGCUUUGUAGCGAUUUUAGGCUAGCGAUGGACGUAUUUAUACAAAUACUGUACAGCUACAGCUGAAAAUGUGGGAUGAAAUUGCGGAAAUAUUGGUCCAGCAUCUGAAGCCGAAAGAUUUAAUUUUUGUUUCAGGUUUGAAAUGCUAUUUUUUUAACACUUGUCAAGUGACUGGCAUAGCUUUUUCUUUGUGCAAUAUAUAUCUAUUGGAAUUUAGAACCUUACAAUCUUGGGACCUAGUUGUUUAAUUAUAUUUUUAUUCUUG
rnacentral:lncRNA from 1 species